UACAGAGGGUGCAAGCGUUGUUCGGAAUUAUUGGGCGUAAAGCGCGUGUAGGCGGCUUUGCAAGUCGGGUGUGAAAGCCCUCGGCUCAACCGAGGAAGUGCGCCCGAAACUGCAGAGCUUGAGUGCCGGAGAGGGUGGCGGAAUUCCCCAAGUAGAGGUGAAAUUCGUAGAUAUGGGGAGGAACACCAGUGGCGAAGGCGGCCACCUGGACGGUUACUGACGCUGAGACGCGAAAGCGUGGGAGCAAACAGG
rnacentral:rRNA from 1 species